GGCCAAUCCCCCUCGUCACACAAUCCCAUCGAAGACGACACCGUUGACAUCAACAAACACCUAAAUCACAGAAUGAAGAAAUCAAAACACGGAAUCCUCCGACAAAAUCGACGACGACGGUGAAGAAAUUCGUCUCGAAACUCGAAGGAUCUACACAACCCAAUUUGAAAUUGCGAAGGAACUGCAAUUUCCUAUCACCGGCGACGGUCGAAAGACCGUCCAGAGAGAGAGAUGGCGGAGUGGUGG
rnacentral:misc_RNA from 1 species